rnacentral:rRNA from 1 species
AGAGCGGCGGACGGGUGAGUAACGCGUGGGUAACCUGCCCUGUACACACGGAUAACAUACCGAAAGGUAUGCUAAUACGGGAUAAUAUAUAAGAGUCGCAUGACUUUUAUAUCAAAGAUUUUCGGUACAGGAUGGACCCGCGUCUGAUUAGCUUGUUGGCGGGGUAACGGCCCACCAAGGCGACGAUCAGUAGCCGACCUGAGAGGGUGAACGGCCACAUUGGAACUGAGACACGGUCCAA